GUUUUAGUAAUUUAAUAUAAAAUAUUGGUCUUGUAAACCAAAAAUAAGCAGCCUUUUAAAACU
rnacentral:tRNA from 1 species